GAAAGGUGGGCUAAUCCCGCAUAAUAGUGGUGAUGCAUAAGUAUUAUCAACAAAGGGGGGGCUCCUUCGGGACCUUUCGCUUAGGGAUGAGCCUAUGUCCUAUUAGCUUGUUGGCGGGGUAACGGCCCACCAAGGCGAUGAUGGGUAGCCGAGCUGAGAGGCUGACCGGCCACACUGGAACUGAAACACGGUCCAGACUCCUACGGGAGGCAGCAGUGGGGAAUUUUGCGCAAUGGGCGAAAGCCUGACGCAGCGACGCCGCGUGAGGGAUGAAGGUCUUCGUGAUCGUAAACCUCUGUCAGGAAGGAUUAAGUGCAUACGUGCCAAUACCACGUAUGCUUGACUUAACUUCCAGAGGAAGCUCCGGCUAACUACGUGCCAGCAGCCGCGGUAAUACGUAGGGAGCUAGCGUUACUCGGAUUUACUGGGCGUAAAGCGAGUGUAGGCGGUCAGGUAAGUCAGGGGUGAAAUCCCUCAGCCUAACUGAAGAAUUGCCUUUUGAUACUGCUUGACUUGAGGACAGGA
rnacentral:rRNA from 1 species